GGGUCAGCAGGUUGGCCGUGCCAAUGGUAUGCACUGGCCUUGCUGAUUCCUCCCUCUUGAUGAGCCGUAAUGUCAUUAAUUUGGUGUUGCGGGGAAUCAGGACUGUUACUUUGAAAAAAUUAGAGUGUUUAAAGCAGGCUCACGCUUGAAUACAUUAGCAUGGAAUAAUGAAAUAGGACGUUGAUUCCUAUUUUGUUGGUUUCUAGGAUUGACGUA
rnacentral:rRNA from 1 species